UACGAAGGGGCUAGCGUUGCUCGGAAUUACUGGGCGUAAAGGGCGCGUAGGCGGACAGUUUAGUCAGAGGUGAAAGCCCAGGCUCAACCUUGGAACUGCCUUUGAUACUGACUGUCUUGAGUUCGGGAGAGGUGAGUGGAAUGCCGAGUGUAGAGGUGAAAUUCGUAGAUAUUCGGCGGAACACCAGUGGCGAAGGCGACUCACUGGCCCGAUACUGACGCU
rnacentral:rRNA from 1 species